AAGGCCUACCAUGGCGACGAUCUGUAGCUGGUCUGAGAGGAUGAUCAGCCACACCGGGACUGAGACACGGCCCGGACUCCUACGGGAGGCAGCAGUGGGGAAUAUUGGACAAUGGGGGAAACCCUGAUCCAGCCAUGCCGCGUGUGUGAAGAAGGCCUUUUGGUUGUAAAGCACUUUAAGCAGUGAAGAAGACUCCGUGGUUAAUACCCACGGACGAUGACAUUAGCUGCAGAAUAAGCACCGGCUAACUCUGUGCCAGCAGCCGCGGUAAUACAGAGGGUGCAAGCGUUAAUCGGAAUUACUGGGCGUAAAGGGAGCGUAGGUGGCUCGAUAAGUCAGAUGUGAAAUCCCCGGGCUCAACCUGGGAACUGCAUCUGAUACUGUUGAGCUAGAGUAUGUGAGAGGAAGGUAGAAUUCCAGGUGUAGCGGUGAAAUGCGUAGAGAUCUGGAGGAAUACCGAUGGCGAAGGCAGCCUUCUGGCAUAAUACUGACACUGAGGCUCGAAAGCGUGGGUAGCAAACAGGAUUAGAUACCCUGGUAGUCCACGCCGUAAACGAUGUCUACUAGUCGUUGGGUCCCUUGAGGACUUAGUGACGCAGCUAACGCAAUAAGUAGACCGCCUGGGGAGUACGGCCGCAAGGUUAAAACUCAAAUGAAUUGACGGGGGCCCGCACAAGCGGUGGAGCAUGUGGUUUAAUUCGAUGCAACGCGAAGAACCUUACCUGGUCUUGACAUAUCUAGAAUCCUGCAGAGAUGCGGGAGUGCCUUCGGGAAUUAGAAUACAGGUGCUGCAUGGCUGUCGUCAGCUCGUGUCGUGAGAUGUUGGGUUAAGUCCCGCAACGAGCGCAACCCUUGUCCUUAGUUACCAGCGGGUUAAGCCGGGAACUCUAAGGAUACUGCCAGUGACAAACUGGAGGAAGGCGGGGACGACGUCAAGUCAUCAUGGCCCUUACGACCAGGGCUACACACGUGCUACAAUGGUAGGUACAGAGGGCAGCUACACAGCGAUGUGAUGCGAAUCUCAAAAAGCCUAUCGUAGUCCAGAUUGGAGUCUGCAACUCGACUCCAUGAAGUAGGAAUCGCUAGUAAUCGCGGAUCAGAAUGCCGCGGUGAAUACGUUCCCGGGCCUUGUACACACCGCCCGUCACACCAUGGGAGUUGAUUGCACCAGAAGUGGAUAGCUUAACCUUCGGGGGAGCG
rnacentral:rRNA from 1 species